AGGGGCUUGGCCACGCCCUCUCGCCCUGGCUCCGCUCGCUCGCCUGCUCCCCGACUCGGGACUUUCUACCUGGUACUCGGUCUCGAGGCUUGCAUUGGCCGGCGCAGACUGAUAGAAACACUGCUUCCUCCCCGCGGGCAGCAGGAACGUGAACUCGCCGUCCUGGAUCGGCGGGGGACCUGCCCCCUCAACCCCCAUUGGCGGCAGUAGUAGCCACAGUGCCAAGGCUAGGGCCGCUCCGGCCGCCAUCGUCUGGGUCACCCUCCGGUCUGCUAAGAGGUCGCGGUUCCUUUAAGGGCUGGCCCUGCCCCUUGUGCUACUCCUCGGAGCUCAUUGGCAGCCGCUUCUGCCGGCGCUAUGAAGCGAACGGAGAGAGAAGUGAAGGGCCCCCUGAGUGCUUAGCUGCCCGAAUGAAUGCCUGCCGUGCCUUAAGACUCUCGACCUCCCGGAGACUUUUUUAUGAGUAGCCUCGAGCUCUAGUCUCAACAGAUGGUGACGGAAUAAGGAAAAAAAAAUAAGUCCUAUGAUGGUGCGUGUUUUCCAGGCAAAAGUUAAGACAGCUAAAUCGGAGGCGGGCCGGGGCCUUCUGAGGCCCCUCCCUGCGGUUUUCCCAGAGUACGCCGCGCGCGACGACCAUUGGGCCAUCUAGUCUGGGAAUAGUGGACCUCCCCGCGACCCGUAGGGCUCAUGUAUAAAGAUUCGAGGGGAGCGGGAGGGGGUCCUUUUCGUUUUCUUGGGGGCUUCGCGCUUCUUAGGCGUGGCUCCAGAUGCGCCGCCUGACCCUUCAUUCCCUUUGCUCCUGAGAACCAUCCCUUUGUCCGUUUCCUCGUCUGUAGUUAUUGAUGGACCCCACGAGGGCGGCGGUGGGAACAGACGAAGCCUUGCCGGUGGCGCUCGGCUUUCCUAGCGUAGAACGUAGAGGGGCAUAGCCCACCCUGCACCCAGGGGUCCCAAACCUGGGGAGGCGGCGGCGGCAGCUCUGCAGGAGGAAGAAAGAUUUUCUCCUCCUGGUAACAGCCAAGCAGCCAAUGAGAGACCGUCACCACUCAACCAAUGAAACAUCAAAAUAUUUUCAACUCCCAGUUUAAUCCAACGGACUUCUUGUUCAUAACAGCCUUCCGGAUGUCCCCUUUCCUCUACAAAAAGCAUUCCUCUUUCUUUUCCAGACCUGCUUCUGCUUUUGCUGCAUCUUGCUUGUCCUCAGUUGCAUUCCUCUGCUAUCCCUGAAUAAACCCAUUUUUGCUGGUAAAA